rnacentral:rRNA from 1 species
UACGUAGGGUGCAAGCGUUAAUCGGAAUUACUGGGCGUAAAGCGUGCGCAGGCGGUUAUGCAAGACAGAUGUGAAAUCCCCGGGCUCAACCUGGGAACUGCAUUUGUGACUGCAUGGCUAGAGUACGGUAGAGGGGGAUGGAAUUCCGCGUGUAGCAGUGAAAUCCGUAGAUAUGCGGAGGAACACCGAUGGCGAAGGCAAUCCCCUGGACCUGUACUGACGCUCAUGCACGAAAGCGUGGGGAGCAAACAGG